ensembl:lncRNA
UGAAAAACAAAAACACCACCAAAGCUCACCUUCACCUGCAAGUGAAUAUCACACUACCCAAAUAUUUGGAUUGUGCUGGGAUUAUUUUCCGAACUUUUUUCUGCUAUCAAACGUCUGUUAUUUGUUCUUCAAGAAGAUUCAAAGAUCUCUGGAACACUCGAGAGAAAAACUAAAGACUUGGAUAAAGUGCAAGUGACUGUUCAUCAGUGGACAAAGUAUCAAACAAAAUGGGGAACAAGACGUCAUCAGAUGAUCAGGGAGAACGGAGAUGCACUGAUCUGGACGUGCCUCUCUUGACACCAGACAUCUUCAACACCGUGAUCACCAUGUUCCAGAAUGACGUAGCCUCUGAGUAAGUCAUGAAUUGAAAACAUCAAACUAAUCAGCACACAUGUACACCGGGGCUAACCAUUCCUCAUCUUCUUCUGCUGCAGGCAGUGGAGGCAGCUGGUGGCCGGAUGGGUGGAUGUAGACACCUUCAUCCUGCUGUCAGACAUGUGUAAGGAGAUGGUGGAUGCAAUCAGCGUCUCAAUCCUGGAAGCCGUGGAGCCUCAAGUCACUAAUGGUGGCGCCAGUAGCAGCUCCAUCACAGGGACUGAAACUCAACCGAAGAGGCAGCAUCAUAUUUACAGGGUAACAGAAGAAGCCAUCCGAUGCAGCCUUGGAGAUUCCCUCCAUCGCUGCUUUGGUGAGGCGCUGGGAUUAGAACAGGAGAGAACCCACGAGUCGGAGAAACUGGUGGAGCUGUUUGGAUUCGAGGUGAUGAAAAAGGUGAACCACAAACUGGCUCUAAUGGAGGCACCGACCUCUUCCCAGCAGACGAAGACGUCAGAAGCUUCAGCUGCAUCUCAUACUGAAGACAUGGCUCGUCUUGUAGCUGAUAUAUUGAGAAAGUGCAAAAAACACCAGGCAUGGCUGGACAGUGAUGAGUCGGGAGGUUGUUGUCCAGACGAGGUGACACCUGUAGAGGAACUGAGAGCAGAAGGAGCUGAACCAACACAGAGUUCAGACCAGGCAGGUUGUCUGAGACAAGACUGUUCAACCAGCUCUACAGAGGAGGUACUGCCAAAUGAGACCUUUCUCGCUACGUUUCUGUGGAGGCUGCUGGAUCACAUCGCCACCGAGACAAGAACACCAAUCCCUGUGGACUUUUAUGGGAUGCUGGUCCGUUUGAUUGAGAGCACUGAGGAAGAACUAACUUCCGCUCUCCCACAGACUCCUUCAAACCUCCAUGUCUGCAUCUACAAAAAGCUUUGCCAGGAGUUUGGAUCUGCAGAGGAGCUGCUGUCUGCUGUGGCGUCCAACCCAGUGGCCUUUGAAGAAGCUGCUGCCAGGACAUUGAAAGCAAAGCUGGCGAAAUCUAAAAAAAACGUGAGCUUUGUCAAAAAAGUGAGCAGAUUUUUCCGCAAAAAGACCAGCAAGGUCACUCAAGGCUGUGAGAAGAACACAAGUGAUGUCAGAAAACAGGAGAGUGGGCCUCAGGAGAAGAAAAGCUUCAGAAUUCUAUUGAAAACCAUCUGAGGCAGAUAUAUUCCACGUACUCACAUGCCUUUCAGCAACCAAUAUCCAUUCCUGUCUUUAUGUAUCAGUAAACAUUAAUAAACAUUUUCAUUGCAAAAAAAUUAUCAUCAAUGUAAAAAAAG